GAUUUGGGGGCGUUUCCCUUUUUUUCCUCGCGAUGCAGCCUCCCCGCCCGUAGCGUCGCCUCCCCCGCCGCCGCCCCCGCGGCACCACGCGACGCCGCGACGCCGCCUCCCCCGACGUCGCGUCUCCUCCGCCGACCGCCGCAUUCCGCCGACUCGUGACCGCGCGGUAAAUCACGCCUCUCCUUCCCCGCUCGACGCCUGCUCGGCUGCUCCCAAUCCCCUCCCCUCCGCACUUCCGCAAACCCUAGCACCACCCUUCUCGGCUCCUCCUCGGGCCCUGUGCGGCGCCGCCUCCUCAACCCCACCCCCGUCGCCCGCUGCCCCUCCUCCAGUGUGCCGCCGCCCCUUCCUUGGGUCAAGCAGUCAAGGCGCGGCGACCCAGGCGCUCUCGGCGGCCAAGUCGCAGCGACCACUCCCGGCCGCCCCCUUCCUCCGUUCCGGUAGUCCAAGCGUGCAUAUCCUCCGCGGCGGCGCCUCCCUCUUCCAUAUGCAUCACCCCCUCCAUCUUCUUCGCGUUUGUGACGGCGGCGGUCUUGGAACCAGGAGGGGGAGGCGAUGAGGGACUGCAGCGAUGCGCUGUCGUUUCCAUCUGCCUCUAGCCUUGCCUCCCCAUCUACGUCGCCCUUUUCUCCUUCGCCCCAUGAGCGUGCAGUCAAGCCGCUCGACGUCUGCAACACGGCGAGCGACGGCGUCAACCAGGUGCGCCGCUGGGAGCGCCUCGCUGCUGCGGGGGCCCAUGGAGAUCCACGAGGGCCAGCUUCGUUGUGCGCGUAAGGCGCUUCCGACCUCUCCGGUCUCCUCGUCGAUGACCGGAAGUUGCCUCCACGAGUGUGUAGCCGAGGUCGGCGAGUGGGGGCGUCCGCACAGCGCGGACUCAUUGUGGCGCCAAACGCAAAGCAUGGCUCUUAAGAUGCUGCAGCGCGUCCUGUGCAAGACAAAUCACAACAAAGUUGAGCGUUGAGCAGCGGCCGGCCACGGCGGCAAGCACCAUCACGGCGAGGUUACCAGCAAUUUAGCGGUGAUGACGAUGCGGUGCCGCCGCCGUCCUCGUCGUCGCAUGCGCCGCAGAUCCACGGUCGUCCUCAUGAGAUCAUCCGCGCUUCAGCUGUGAGGAUGCUUAUUUUGGGGAAGAUGCUGCAUGAUCCGUGGGCUCCGUGGUAGUGGGCGGUGGCGGGAUUCGAUGGAGCAAUGGCAGAGCAAGGACCUUCGUCAAGGAGGCGCAAGGUUUAAAUGAUAGGUGAUCAUGGCAGCACGAAGAUGAGCCACCCGUCGAUCCACUCCCCUUUCGUGUGUCAGGUGAUCCGCCUCAUGGUGCCUACUGCCCUUUUCGUCUCUGCGAUCUACUGUGCAUUGAUGGAUCGUUCGUGUAUAUUAAGGCUGUGUUGCGUGAUGUGAUGCAUCUUAAGAGUUGCACUAACAGCAGUGCGUACGGAUAGGGUUCAGUACUGUCAGGGUUGUUUGGUGUGUGUGGUUUCGUCCCUGCUACUUGAGGUUGCACUACGUUUGGAUCAUAGGUUCACUUUGACUGAUGGCAACAGAUUCGCACGUACUUGAGCUCUCCAUCAUUUUCUGUGGUAUCUGCGUCAGAGAUUUCAGGUUCCAAUGCCAGAAUUGCAUAAUUUUGGAGGUUUCCUGUGGUUGUUUUUUCUUUUGGCAACCAAUGCUUGUGUGCGUACAUGGAAAUAAUGGAUUCAUAUCUCUCUUUUCAGCUAGAUAAUGUUUUCUUUACUAUUAGACUACUCUUGGCUGCAUAAUUCUGUCACAAGACAUAGCACUAAUGUCCGAUGAAGAGAAGGCUGAUCAUGCUGCUACCAUGAAGUAUUUGAAGAAAAAAUUAUUUGCUGAAUCUAAUUAAGCUUCAACUUGCUUUGAAUGAAGCUCUGGAACCUGAACCUGAAGAAUAAACUCUGAAUGGCAACUGUAAUGCUUUCUGAAUUACAGAAAUAUGUAAUGGUAUUUGAAUCUAAACCUGAAGCAUAUUUAUCUAGCUUCCUGAAUUACAGAUAUGUAAUACUAUUUGAACCAAUGAUCUAUAAUGCUUUAUUUUGUUAGCUUAAUUUGAACCAAUCACUAUUAACCAUCUUUCCCAAAAUCAAGCUGAAUAUAUAGAGACGCCAACUUGUAGUUCUAUGUUGAUUUAGCUGGGAAAAUUUAGCUAUUCAAUCUAACAGUUCUCACUAUGCUCCAUUCAGGCUAGAUAAUGUUUUAUUUACUAUUAGGCUGGUGAGAUUCAGUGCAACGAUAUGGUCUGUAGUUACUUUAUCUCGGAAUAGUAUGAAUUAUUUGUAGCAUGCAUACAUGGAUCACAGUUGCUCACAAAAUUCUCUUACUUUUGCAUGCGCCCUUUUGUUUAUUACUAAUUGACUAUGCAAACAACUUGAGCGUGAAUAGCAAUACACUAGGUCAUUGGGGAAUCAAAGGUUUGGGAGCCUUUUUUUUUUGAGAGGUUAGUUUGAGGGAACAAAACUGCAAGAGUACAUAAUAUUGUCUAUGAAUUUGAAAUUUGAAGGGAUGACCACAAUGACGACACUUUUGUUUUAAAUUGGAUUGCAAGUGAUACACUUUUAAUAAUUCAGAUAGCCAGUGGCUUCAGUCAACAGACUUUCUUCUGGAAGUUUUCAUUUUAAAAUUUUUACUAUGUUCUUGAAUUAAUCUUGUGCGGCUAGCUCUCUUUUUUUUCGCUGUGAACUUUUCAGGCUCAUUUGUCGUGUUCACGAUUUUCUGGCCAAUUGAAUUGAAUUGAAGUUGGCUAUUGCUUUUGUGCCAAAUGAGGUGACAUAGAUUGUGAAGAAUAAGGGAAAGAGUUGUAUUUAUCACUAGACUUGGGCCUGACAUAUAUUUAAACAUGCAUGUUAUUCUUUGUAAGUUAUGUAUCUAUACAAUCCCAUAUAUUCUGCAAUGUAUUUUUUCAGUUACUGCA